AACGCACAUUGCGCCCUCUGGUAUUCCGGGGGGCAUGCCUGUUCGAGCGUCAUUACAACCCUCAAGCUCUGCUUGGUAUUAGGCGUCGCCUGUCAAGGCGCGCCCCAAAACUAGUGGCGGUGCCAUCUGGCUUCAAGCGUAGUAAUUUGUCUCGCUUCGGAGAACCAGUUGUGUGCUCGCCAACAACCCCAAAUUUUAUCAAGGUUGACCUCGGAUCAGGUAGGGAUACCCGCUGAACUUAA
rnacentral:misc_RNA from 1 species